AGCAAUACCUGCUCCCUCCAUCUCCUGCCUUUCCAGCAAUAGAUAUUUUCUCAAAUCCUGCCUUUCCAGCAAUACCUGUUUCUUCCAUCUCCUACCUUUCCAGCAAUAGGAGCUUCCUCAUCUCCUGCCUUUCCAGCAACAGGUAUUUUCUCAAAUCCUGCCUUUCCAGCAAUAGGUGCUUCCUCAUCUGCCUUUCCAGCAAUAAGUGCUUCCUCAUCUCCUGCUUUUCCAGCAAUACCUGCUCCCUCCAUCAGCUACCUUUCCAGCAAUACCUGCUCCCUCCCAUCUCCAAAGGCCAAGGCAGGUCUGGCACUGGUGCCUUGGUGUUGGGUGUGAGGCAGGAGCUGCAGAAGGAACAAGCAGUGAUGGGUGUUCCGUGUCUGUCCUCGAGUGUUUGGAAGUCCUGAGGUAUCUACAAAUCAACUGGUGUUUAGGAAAAGGCAUCUUAAAGAUGCUCCUGUCUCUGUUCUCUGUUUCUCCUCCCCUCUGUCCUGAAAAUGUGGGGUUUUCCCCAGCACCCCCCAGGUUGAUUCUGUCCAUCAGAGCAGCAGCUUGGCUACACCCCAGCACUGAAACCAGAGUCUGUUUAAUUUGUUAUUAGAAGUUUCCAGAGGGAAAUGGUUUCGAGGACCUUGUGGAGGGAAGGGAUGAGAAAAAGAAUUGUGGGGGGAAACGUUCUCAAGUUGCCCAUGUUCUGUCUGGGGUUUAUCUCCAUAGUUAGUGAUCUAAAUCUCUGGUUUUUAGCAAUUUAUUUGGCAGCCCAGGGGCAGGAGCAGCAUUCCUGCUCCUUGUUGGAGCCACACUGAGCUCUGUUCCUGUCUGCUGAACCCAGCAGACCACAAGGUUUCGCUGGACCAGCAGCAACUUUUCCCUGGUUCCACUUUAAACACAGCCAUAACAAUCCCUCUGUGGUUUUGCCUUUCUCUUGGACUCUGUUUUUCCACUCUGUUCCACGUGGUUCCAGCAGGGUGCUGUUGGCUCUGCUUUUGUUGUCAGCCCCACGACUGGGUUUCUUGCUUUUCAAGAACUUUGGCCAAGUGAUUUUCUUUUCUCCUUGGCUGCUCCUUCUGGUCACAGGCUGGGCCAGAAGAACCACCAGGGUUUAUCCUUUAACUGGAACAAACCUGAAGGGAUGUGGGUUCUCAAGUGUAGACUCAGCCUUAUGACUCAUCUGUGAAGAAACCACCGUGUGUUUUGUGUCUCAUGGGGUGGAAAAAACAUCCCAAAGUGGGAAAAGAAGCAUCAGGGAGGGUUUGGAGUUGUUGAUUUCCCUGUACUUCACGUACCAAGGAAGUGGGUUCUGUGCGUUUCAUGUUUUAAUAGUUGCAACUAAUGUUUAUAAAGAGCUUGUUAUUUACGUUUUCAGCACUUUAAAGAAGAAAAAAAAAAUAAAAGUUGUUCAAGCUGUUCCUA